rnacentral:rRNA from 1 species
UUCGCAAUGCCCGAAAGGGUGACGAGGCGACGCCGCGUGUGGGAAGAAGGCCUUCGGGUUGUAAACCACUGUCGGGAGUUAAGAAAUGCAAGGAUAUUAAUAGUGUCUUUGUUUGACUAAGGCUCCGGAGGAAGCCACGGCUAACUCUGUGCCAGCAGCCGCGGUAAUACAGAGGCGGCAAGCGUUGUUCGGAAUUAUUGGGCGUAAAGAGCACGUAGGCGGCUAUGUAAGUCGGUUGUGAAAGCCUUCCGCUCAACGGAAGAACAGCAUCCGAUACUACAUGGCUUGAGUGCGGGAGGGGAGAGUGGAACUUCUGGUGGAGCGGUGAGAUGCGUAGAUAUCAGAAGGAACGCCGGCGGCGAAAGCGGCUCUCUGGCCCAUAACUGACGCUGAGUGUGCGAAAGCUAGGGGAGCAAACGGGAUUAGAUACCCCGGUAGUCCUAGCCGUAAACGAUGGGCACUAAGUAGAGGGGUUUU